rnacentral:rRNA from 1 species
GUGCCAGCAGCCGCGGUAAUACGUAGGUGGCAAGCGUUGUCCGGAUUUAUUGGGCGUAAAGCGAGCGCAGGCGGUUCUUUAAGUCUGAUGUGAAAGCCCCCGGCUCAACCGGGGAGGGUCAUUGGAAACUGGAGCACUUGAGUGCAGAAGAGGAGAGUGGAAUUCCACGUGUAGCGGUGAAAUGCGUAGAUAUGUGGAGGAACACCAGUGGCGAAGGCGACUCUCUGGUCUGUAACUGACGCUGAGGCUCGAAAGCGUGGGGAGCAAACAGGAUUAGA